rnacentral:lncRNA from 1 species
AUAUUAAUGCUGAUGGCAAAAUGACAACUAACAAAUACAACCUUUUAUUUCUUCAGUCAGGGGAGACAUAAGAAUGCACAGAAGAAACGAAUGCAUAAAGUAACCGAAAACAUGAAUCUGUCCAUAGAAGAUAUGAAGUAUGACAAGUUUGAUCUGAUUGAGAAUGACUGACUUCUGUGUAUACCCCACCCAGAUCCAACCCAUCCUGGUUUAGCACUCAAUAAAUCAUCAAAAGGAGAUCAUUUCCUAAGC